rnacentral:rRNA from 1 species
UACGAAGGUCCCAAGCGUUAUCCGGAUUUAUUGGGUUUAAAGGGUGCGUAGGCGGGUUAUUAAGUCAGUGGUGAAAGCUCCCAGCUCAACUGGGAAACUGCCAUUGAUACUGAUAGUCUUGAGUAUGAUUGAAGUGGGCGGAAUGUGUCAUGUAGCGGUGAAAUGCUUAGAUAUGACACAGAACACCGAUUGCGAAGGCAGCUCACUAAGCCAAUAACUGACGCUGAUGCACGAAAGCGUGGGGAGCAAACAGG